rnacentral:rRNA from 1 species
AUGGCCAACAAGCUGGUCUCGGACAUGUGCCUGCCUCCCCACCUCGCCCACCUCCUCGCCGCCCGCCGCCUCACCACGGCAAAGGACGUGCUCUCGCUGCCGGAGGUGGAGCUGAUGUCCCUGCUCGACGCGGGCCUCGCCACCGCCCGCGACGCCGUGUGCCGCGUCAGCGAGUUCGCCUGCCCUCCCUGCCAGACGGCGCUUGCGCUGCUGGAGGAGCGGGUGAGGCUGGGAGGCGGCGGCCGCCUGGCGACCACGCUCUGCGGGCUGGAUGAGGCGCUGGGCGGAGGUAUCCCCCUGGGCAAGCUCACCGAGGUCGUCGGGCCCUCGGGGAUCGGCAAGACGCAGUUUUGUCUGAAGCUUGCGCUGCUAGCAACGUUACCAGAAUGCUACGGGGGCCUAAACGGUCGAGUUGUGUAUAUUGACACCGAAUCCAAGUUCUCUUCACGGAGGAUGAUCGAGAUAGGUCAGAAAAGCUUUCCUCAAAUAUUUAGGCAAGAAGGCUUAGCACAAAAGAUGGCUGGCAGGAUCCUAGUGAUGCGACCAUCAUCAUUAUCUGAUUUCACAAAGAGUUUGGAACAGAUGAAGGUGACUCUCCUCCAAAAUGAUGUGAAGUUACUCAUUGUUGAUAGUGUGGCUGCUUUCAUGUCAUCGGAGAACGAAAGAGGUACAACAGGUUUCACACAACACCCUCUAAGAUGGGCUCUUUCAUUUCUUAAGUCUAUAGCAGAGUUGACAAGAAUUCCAGUUGUAGUUUCAAACCAGGUCCGCAGCCAAAGUAAUGAUGAUGGUUAUCAUUACUCAUUUGAAGUAAAAAGGAUGGGUGAUGGCGAUGGUGCUGAAAGACUUGAAUCUCAUCUUGUUGCUGCUCUAGGAAUCCAGUGGGCUCAUGCUGUAACUAUCCGUCUAGUCUUCGAGUCUCACUCAGGUCAGAGGUUCAUCAAGGUGGCGAAAUCGCCCAUGUCUCCAGCAGUAGCAUUUCCUUUCAUCGUGGAAUCAUCAGGCAUUACAUUGCUAAAUGAUGAAGGCAUUGAUGUGUCAGGUCCUGAGAUAACCUCGAUUCGCUGUCAAGGGCAAAAUUUGUUGGGUCUGUUGCCAUUUGAAAACCGAGGGUGA